UACGGAGGGGGCUAGUGUUACUCAUAUUGAUUAGGCGUAAAGGGUAUGUAGGCGGUUUUUUUAGUUAGAAUAUAAAUGCUUUAAGUACAACUUAAAGGAAUAUUUUAAUACAGAAUAACUUAGAGUUUAAUAAAGGAUAUGCAGUACUUCUAGUCUAGGGGUAGAAUCUGUAGCGGAUUAGAAGGACUAUCGCGGGCGAAGGCGGCUAUCUAGUUUAAUACUGACGCUGAGAUACGAAGGUGUGGGGAGUAAAUGGG
rnacentral:rRNA from 1 species